CCUUGGUCAUUUAGAGGAAGUAAAAGUCGUAACAAGGUUUCCGUAGGUGAACCUGCGGAAGGAUCAUUAUCGAGUUCUGACUGGGUUGUAGCUGGCCUUCCGAGGCACGUGCACGCCCUGCUCAUCCACUCUACACCUGUGCACUUACUGUGGGUUUCAGAUCUGCGAAGCGUGCUCCUUGCGGGGCUUCGUGAAGCGCGUCUGUGCCUGCGUUUACCACAAACUCUAUAAAGUAUUAGAAUGUGUAUUGCGAUGUAACGCAUCUAUAUACAACUUUCAGCAACGGAUCUCUUGGCUCUCGCAUCGAUGAAGAACGCAGCGAAAUGCGAUAAGUAAUGUGAAUUGCAGAAUUCAGUGAAUCAUCGAAUCUUUGAACGCACCUUGCGCUCCUUGGUAUUCCGAGGAGCAUGCCUGUUUGAGUGUCAUGAAAUCUUCAACCUACAAGCUUUUGCGGUUUGUAGGCUUGGACUUGGAGGCUUGUCGGCCCUCUGUCGGUCGGCUCCUCUUAAAUGCAUUAGCUUGAUUCCUUGCGGAUCGGCUCUCGGUGUGAUAAUGUCUACGCCGCGACCGUGAAGCGUUUGGCGAGCUUCUAACCGUCUUCGCUUGAAGACAGCUUUAUGACCUCUGACCUCAAAUCAGGUAGGACUACCCGCUGAACUUAAGCAUAUCAAUAAGCGGAGGAAAAGAAACUAACAAGGAUUCCCCUAGUAACUGCGAGUGAAGCGGGAAAAGCUCAAAUUUAAAAUCUGGCGGUCUUCGGCCGUCCGAGUUGUAGUCUGGAGAAGUGCUUUCCGCGCUGGACCGUGUACAAGUCUCCUG
rnacentral:rRNA from 1 species